rnacentral:rRNA from 1 species
GACGAACGCUGGCGGCGUGCUUAACACAUGCAAGUCGAACGGAAAGGCCCUGCUUUUGUGGGGUGCUCGAGUGGCGAACGGGUGAGUAACACGUGAGUAACCUGCCCUUGACUUUGGGAUAACUUCAGGAAACUGGGGCUAAUACCGGAUAGGAGCUCCUGCUGCAUGGUGGGGGUUGGAAAGUUUCGGCGGUUGGGGAUGGACUCGCGGCUUAUCAGCUUGUUGGUGGGGUAGUCGCUUACCAAGGCUUUGACGGGUAGCCGGCCUGAGAGGGUGACCGGGGUCAUGGGGACUGCGGGAGGGCCCAGUAGCGUAUGGGCGGCAGCAGGGCGGAGCAUGGCGGAGUGACCGCGAGCGAGAGACCGAGGUCCCCCGAGCGGGAUAAGGUGUUACGGGUUGAAAACAAAUUUCGCAUGAACUAUGCACGUCGUGACGGUAACUAAUAAGAAAGCCACGGCUAACUACGUG